GGUGAAACUCAUGGGCAAUGGGCCGCACA
rnacentral:sRNA from 1 species